GCACUAAGGUCACUGAGAACAGAAAGCUUGUCUGCUUGUUUGGUAGUUUCAGCUCUGUGUCUCUAGGGAUUCCAACAGUGCCUAACACAAAGCAGACAUUCCUAACACCACCACGGGAUGACUUAGUGGAGUGCCAAAAGAGCAAAGAGCAGUCAGUGAGUGGAAAGCAGGAAGCCAAAGCAGAAUUUGGAGCCACGCGAUGGUACAGCCUCACUUUGUGCUGUUCUUUAGAGGUAAACACGCUCCAUUGGAUCUGUCCAGAAGACUGUUUUGAACAAAGUUUGGUAUUGAUGAGAGUUUUAAGGAGAAGUUCUGGACAUCAGGGGAAAAAUGAAUGGCUUCUGCUUGGUCCUGAUUGUGUGUCCAUGUCUGAGGAUAGCCCACCCUGGUGAAGCCUGAGUCUCCAGCCCAGAUUCCUCUCAUAUCUCACUGCUUGCUGAUGGGGGAAAAGAAGAGACAGACCCACGAGACUAGACACCUUUGUGGAUGAGUUCUAGCCAAAUGAUCAGAGAUGUAACGUGACCAGGUCUGUCCAGCUUCCACCACAGAGUGUCUUUUACUAUAUACAUGAGUCUAACCUAACAUUUGAGCCAAAUAAACCUUCUCUCCC
rnacentral:lncRNA from 1 species